rnacentral:rRNA from 1 species
AGAAUCAACGCUGGCGGCGUGCCUAACACAUGCAAGUCGAACGGGAAAGUGGAGCAAUCCAUGAGUAUAGUGGCGACCGGGUGAGUAACACGUGACUAACCUACCCUUGAGUGGGGGAUAACCUCGGGAAACCGGGGCUAAUACCGCAUAAAAUCUUCGGGAUGAGAAGCUGGAGAUCAAAGGAGCAAUUCGCUUUUGGAGGGGGUCGCGGCUGAUUAGCUAGUUGGCGGGGUAACGGCCCACCAAGGCUUUGAUCGGUAUCCGGCCUGAGAGGGCGCACGGACACACUGGAACUGAAACACGGUCCAGACUCCUACGGGAGGCAGCAGUGGGGAAUUUUGCGCAAUGGGGGAAACCCUGACGCAGCAACGCCGCGUGGAGGAUGAAGUCCUUCGGGACGUAAACUCCUUUCGAUCGGGACGAUUAUGACGGUACCGGAAGAAGAAGCCCCGGCUAACUUCGCGCCAGCAGCCGC